UACGUAGGUGGCAAGCGUUGUCCGGAUUUACUGGGCGUAAAGAGCGCGCAGGCGGUCGUGCAAGUCGCGUGUGAAAGCCCCCGGCUCAACUGGGGAGGGUCACGCGAUACUGCUCGACUCGAAGGCAGGAGAGGGAAGUGGAAUUCCCGGUGUAGUGGUGAAAUGCGUAGAUAUCGAGAGGAACACCAGUGGCGAAGGCGAGUCCCUGGACAACACCUGACACUGAGGCACGAAAGCUAGGGGAGCAAACAGG
rnacentral:rRNA from 1 species